UCAAAUAAUAAUAAACUAGGUACUAUUUUAUUGAUUCCAACAUUAUUUCAGUGGAAGCACAAAUGUCCCCCAUAAAGAAAUCAUUAAUCUGUCCCAGAAAUAUGGACUGUUUUAAUGUUAACAAUAAAGAUUGUCUAUAUCAAUAACUUUGAAAUUCCCGGGGUGAUUCAUGCUUGUGCGCUACUGCGCUUGAGCGACAGCUAUUAAAGAUGUCCUGUCUCCUUCAGUUUUCAGUAGUUGAAGGUGAAGUUGGUUCAUUGUUUGUUUAUCCUUUAUUUUAUCGCGUCAUCAAGUUGAUGAUGAUUUUUGAUUGCUGAAGGUCUUAAAUUAAGACGAAGGUGGGAAUAGAACUGCAGAUACAUAUUAUACUAAAAUCCACCAUGACAGAUGAAUAUGAUGCCAAGGAUUAGAUUU